rnacentral:rRNA from 1 species
UCCAGACUCCUACGGGAGGCAGCAGUGGGGAAUAUUGGGCAAUGGGCGAAAGCCUGACCCAGCAACGCCGCGUGAAGGAAGAAGGCUUUCGGGUUGUAAACUUCUUUUGACAGGGAAGAGCAGAAGACGGUACCUGUCGAAUAGGCCACGGCUAACUACGUGCCAGCAGCCGCGGUAAUACGUAUGGUGCAAGCGUUAUCCGGAUUUACUGGGUGUAAAGGGAGCGCAGGCGGCACGGCAAGCCUGAUGUGAAAGCCCGCGGCCCAACCGCGGGACUGCAUUGGGAACUACCGGGCUGGAGUGCAGGAGAGGUAGGCGGAAUUCCUAGUGUAGCGGUGAAAUGCGUAGAUAUUAGGAGGAACACCAGUGGCGAAGGCGGCUUACUGGACUGUAACUGACGUUGAGGCUCGAAAGCGUGGGGAGCAAACAGGAUUAGAUACCCGGGUA